GGCCGCGGGAAUUCGAUUUCUGGUUGAUCCUGCCAGACCCGACUGCUAUCAGAGUGGGACUAAGCCAUGCGAGUCAACGUAGCAAUGCGUGGCGAACGGCUCAGUAACACGUAGUCAACAUGCCCAGGGGACGUGGAUAACCUCGGGAAACUGAGAUUAAACCGCGAUAGGUCAAGAUUUCUGGAAUGGAUUCUGGCUUAAAUCUACAUGGCCCCUGGAUUGGACUGCGGCCGAUCAGGCUGUUGGUGAGGUAAUGGCCCACCAAACCUAUAACCGGUACGGGCUCUGAGAGGAGAAGCCCGGAGAUGGGCACUGAGACAAGGGCCCAGGCCCUAUGGGGCGCAGCAGGCGCGAAAACUCUGCAAUGGGCGAAAGCCUGACAGGGUUACUCUGAGUGAUUUCCGCUAAGGAGAUCUUUUGGCAGCUCUAAAAAUGGUGCAGAAUAAGGGGUGGGCAAGUCUGGUGUCAGCCGCCGCGGUAAUACCAGCACCCCGAGUGGUCGGGACGAUUAUUGGUCCUAAAGCAUCCGUAGCCGGUUGUGCAAGUCCUCCGUUAAAUCCAGCCGCUCAACGGAUGGGCUGCGGAGGAUACUACAGGACUAGGAGGCGGGAGAGGCAAGCGGUAAUUAGUGGGUAGGGGUAAAAUCCUUUGAUCCAUUGAAGACCACCAGUGGCGAAGGCGGCUUGCCAGAACGCGCUCGACGGUGAGGGAUGAAAGCUGGGGGAGCAAACCGGAUUAGAUACCCGGGUAGUCCCAGCUGUAAACGAUGCAGACUCGGUGAUGGGCUAGCCUCGUGUCAGCCCAGUGCCGCAGGGAAGCCGUUAAGUCUGCCGCCUGGGGAGUACGGUCGCAAGACUGAAACUUAAAGGAAUUGGCGGGGGAGCACCACAAGGGGUGAAGCCUGCGGUUCAAUUGGAUUCAACGCCGGGAAUCACUAGUGAAUUC
rnacentral:rRNA from 1 species